rnacentral:rRNA from 1 species
UAUUGGUCAAUGGUCGGGAGACUGAACCAGCCAAGCCGCGUGAGGGAGGAAGGUACAGAGUAUCGUAAACCUCUUUUGUCAGGGAACAAAGACUGGGACGCGUCCCCGGAUGAGUGUACCUGAAGAAAAAGCAUCGGCUAACUCCGUGCCAGCAGCCGCGGUAAUACGGAGGAUGCGAGCGUUAUCCGGAUUUAUUGGGUUUAAAGGGUGCGUAGGUGGUUUAUUAAGCCAGCGGUGAAAGUUUGUGGCUCAACCAUAAAAUUGCCGUUGAAACUGGUUAACUUGAGUAUAUUUGAGGUAGGCGGAAUGCGUGGUGUAGCGGUGAAAUGCAUAGAUAUCACGCAGAACUCCAAUUGCGAAGGCAGCUUACUAAACUAUAACUGACACUGAAGCACGAGAGCAUGGGUAGCGAACAGGA